UACAGAGGUCUCAAGCGUUGUUCGGAUUCACUGGGCGUAAAGGGUGCGUAGGCGGUCGGGUAAGUCUGAUGUGAAAUCCCGCAGCUCAACUGCGGAACGGCAUUGGAUACUAUUCGGCUUGAGGAAUGGAGGGGAGACUGGAAUUCUCGGUGUAGCAGUGAAAUGCGUAGAUAUCGAGAGGAACACCGGUGGCGAAGGCGAGUCUCUGGACAUUUCCUGACGCUGAGGCACGAAAGCCAGAGGAGCAAACGGG
rnacentral:rRNA from 1 species